GAUGAAGAACGUAGCGAAAUGCGAUAAGUAAUGCGAAUUGCAGAAUUCAGUGAAUCAUCGAAUCUUUGAACGCACAUUGCGCCCCUUGGUAUUCCAUGGGGCAUGCCUGUUCGAGCGUCAUUUGUACCUUCAAGCUUUGCUUGGUGUUGGGUGUUUGUCUCGCCUCCGCGUGUAGACUCGCCUCAAAACAAUUGGCAGCCGGCGUAUUGAUUUCGGAGCGCAGUACAUCUCGCGCUUUGCACUCACAACGACGACGUCCAAAAGUACAUUUUUACACUCUUGACCUCGGAUCAGGUAGGGAUACCCGCUGAACUUAAGCAUAUCAAUAAGCGGAGGA
rnacentral:misc_RNA from 1 species